UUGGAUGGUGCGAUAUGUUGUAUGUGGGCAUAUAUUAAUUGCCUUCGUUUUAUAUAUGUGCAUUUUUCAACUUUUAAGAAAUCGUUAUAAAUUACUUUAGUGUAAGAAAGCAAAGUAUGGUUUCCACUUUUCUGAGUUAAGUUAGUAUCGAGUCCGGAGAUGCUAUUUCCAUAGCAGACCAUCUGAAGCUAGAGUUACAGAAAAAAAAAAUCAAAUAUGAUUGGGCUUGGAACCGACAACGCCAAUGUGAUGACAGGACCCAAAAGGAGCGUAUACACUGAAUAAAAAAAAAGUGUGCCUACUAUAAUAUUAAUUUAGUGUGUAUGUCACUCUAUACAAUUGGCUGUAAAUCAGGCGUGCAAAGGUAGCAUGCCGGAGGCUUUGGAAUUUCUUGUGGUGGAUACCUAUUCCUGGUUCGCAACGCCAAAUGAACUACAAAAAAAUAUACGAAUACUCCAUUAAAAAUACCCAGAGUUUGCGAUACCAGAUGGCUAUUAACAGAACCUGCAGUAACUAGGUUUUCACAUCAGUGGUCGGAGCUCAAAUUGCAGUUUGCCUUAGCCGCCAGUUCCGAAAAAUGUCACAAGGCCAAAAUUUUCCAUGAUUUAUAUAACGAUGAAACUAAUUUGUUGUAUUUGUUGUUUUUGCGACCGAUUUUAAAUGAUAUGAAAAAACUCAACAAAUUGUUUCAAAGGGAACGGCCGGAAUCUUUUAAGUUAUUAAAUGAUGACAAGCAUUAAUUAAACUAAAAGAAAAAAUCAUACCUCCGGAAAUAAACAUUGACAUCUUUAAAGAUGAUAUUACGCAUA